AAACCUCUAUCAUCAAGUCAAAUGUCUUGAUUUUAAACACCAGGAAGGAGAAUUGGGAGAAAACUCCUGGAAGGAGAAUUGGGAGAGCAGAAGGGGCGGGGCCUGGGACUGGCCUGGUUUAAUUUCCCAUUCCUUUGCGGGAAGAGAAGGGGCGUUGAUAAGAAAUUAAGGCUUUGAACGUUGACGAUCAAAAUUAAGUGGUGAAAUAAAAGCCAGCGAGCGCGCAGAUAGCAGCUGACAGAGAGAGAGGUGAGCACGCACCGCCCAAAGCUAAUUAGAUACACCAAGUGCAAUGGUCAGCCUAGCAGCUUUCCUUCACUUAAGGAAUAUCAUGUUUUUAUUAGGGUUUUGAAUUCGGAAUGCUGCCCGAAUGCCCUAUCUACAGGAUAAUUCACUAUAUACACAAGCGGAGUCUUUCAAUUCAUCAGACUUGAGGAAGGAGGGGGGCUGAUUUCAGAUCCCCAUUAUUAAUGGUGAAACCCGUGAAAGCCAGGUUGGUGUAUAUAAGGACUCUCAUCAUCCAUCCACAUCUGAAUCGUGUCCGUGCAUUCGACGUCUAAUUACCAAUAGUAAUUCACUAAUACCACUAGUAAUUACGUGUUCAAUUGUAGUAGUACUAGUGCUUUGGGAAGAAAAAUGUUGGGAGACUCAAAAGUUGGCUGUCCAUAAGUUCCUUCAUCCCAUGUUUUUGUCACAUUAACUCUGCAAAUUUAUGUUUUUGCCACAAUUUUGUGCUAAUUUUUUAUAAUAUUGUGUCAAAAAUAACAAUAAUAUUGUGUAAAAAAUAUAAGAUGACGAAGGGUUGAAUUUUUAGAAAAUCUCCUAAACAUUUAUUCUUUGAAAACUGUAAAGUUGCACCGCUGGCUUAGCACUAGUUGUGGAAUGUUGUACUCAGAGGGUUUGUAAUUGCGUUGGCCUCAAAAGUCCCAUUGGCCACUUCUCUAUUGCGGUUGCUCCUGUUUCAGCCGUCGGAUCUACGUAUAAUAUGAUUCAAUCUUUAUCUCAGCCUUUAAAUUUAACUUAGGGUUUUAUAUGUAUUGGAGCGUUGGUAUGGUGUUUGGUGGGGAAGGGUCGGGAAAGGACAACCCGCAAAAUGGAAGGGAGACAAAGAUAAAGACGUCCAUUGAAAAUCACCCACCCUUAUACGUUUUCAUCAUAUAUCCCGCGACUCUGCAUAUGCCUAAACAUGUGUACGCUGCCUGGCCUUCUUUUGGUGUUGUUUUCUCAGUUGAAUAUGCAUAUGAUAAAUAGAUGGUUCCUUACAUAAUUUUCCUUCAUCAGAAAUUUUAUUAAUAAAGUUUAACGUUACACAUUUAUGGGACGAAAAAAGCACCGAGUCCAAUUAGAUAAUAAAAUUGGCAGCGAUGGAUUACCUGAAUAGUUAUGACAUUCUUCUUCAACUUAUUAAUUAUGUCCCCGUUUCAAAUUCUUCACUGUACUUAGUGUAAAUAAAAUUACAAAACCAGUAGGAUAACAAAACCAAGAAGUCCAAAAUUGUAUACCUUUAGCCGACAAAAGGAAAAAAAAUGCACAAAUAACUUAACAUCUCACGUUACCAAAAUUCAGCUUAAUCACUAACCAAGUCUACACAACUCUCAAAACUAAAAAAUUCUAAAAUAACCCAUACAUUUAAGUUUUAACAACUACUGUUAUAAGCUAUGUGGACAACGGCACAUGAUAAAGUGGAACAUAAAAACAAUGUUUAAGAGCAGCUCCAACGGGAGCUUUUGCUGGAUGGACAGGCUUCAGCAUAGGGCCUGAUUGCCCAAGGGAGGAAGUUCAACAUUGGCUGGCAAGGGAGCCCGAGUAGGCCCGAGCGUCAAGCUCGUGGAUUCGUGCCGGUCCAAGCACCCGAGAUGGUUCUAACAUCAGCUGACGUCAGACGUCUUUUUUAAUUUUUUUUCUGUCAGGUUCUGGACCGGUGAGGCCGAAAAUGAGAAAAUUGCAGUUGGGUGCGCAGAGGCUGGUGAGGGCGGAGGAUAUGGAGGUGAGUUCCAGCGGGGACAUGUGGGGUGCUGACAAGGUGUUUGAUGAUGAAAUGGCGUAAUGAAGAAGUGCGUCCAGGACGGCGGGCGGGAGGGGGAGUACGGAGUUGGGGUGAGGGAGGAGGUGGGGAGGGUUUGGGGGAUGGUGGUGUUGAUGAGAGUGAGGGUGAAUGCGAGGGUGAAGAAGGUGAAGAAGAAAAGGAGCCACAGGCGGUGGCUUCCGCCAUUUGUGGAUUGCUUGGGGGUGGAGGAUGAUAAGCUUUGUGUUUGUGGUGGCGGUGUUGGUGGUCUUCAUUUCAACGAAGAGAGAGAGAGAGAGAGCUCUUUGCUUUGUCUUUUUUUAAUUAUCUUGGUAUUAUUUUAUAAAUAAAAAAUACUAUUAUUUUAUUACCUAUUGUCAGGGCUAUUGAAAUGCAACGGUGGAGAUACAAAAAGCGGUUACUGUUCAUUAAGGAUAGUUAUUGUUCACUGGGUGGAUAGCAUAGUGUAUUGCCUGGGGGGAGGGUUCCCACACUAGAACUGCUCUAAAGGGUAAAGUGAGUUAAAUGAACUUUCAUGGGCCACUAACUACUAUGGUUUUUUAGUAUUCUUCUUCACUUGUAAGUAAGAGAUUUUAAGUUUGAUUCUCAUCAAAUACGAGUUUGACAUUAUUCUGACUA